AGACAGAUGGGGUGAGAGCACUGCUGCCCCCCAGCCCUGCCUAGCCCCACCUGAUGGUCCCCCACAGAGGUGAUGGGGAUCCCAUUCUGAAGAGAGAUUGCCCCCCCUGCCCUUUAGGGAUCGCAUGCUAUUAUCCUACCCUCCCCCGUUCCCCACUCCUCCCAGAUGCCAUAACAUCCAGGGCCAAUUCCUAGCUGCUGCUCUAGCUCUCACCUUCCCUUUGAAGGCUCUUGAAAGCAUAAUCUUCUCUCUGAGCCUGCCUGCCCCACCUUCACUUACCCCUUCAUACCUUUCAGGUGGACCGGUCCCCACCCUUUGCCCGAACUGCUCCUGCCGAGGCCUCAGAUAACCUUCAUGUGGAGGGACUCCAUCUAUGUUGGCCUAAGCAAGGACUGGACGCCCAGACUGACCUCUGCAAGAUGCCAGUUAAUCAGUGGACCCCAAAUGAGCAAACAAGAUUUACUGUGCCUGACUGCCGUUUUUCUGUCCGCUCUCUCUCUUGAAAAUCGUGUUUUAUCUUUGUGGAAUGAAAUCAAUCUAUUGAUACAUGUCCCUUGUACAGAAGUGAAAGGCAACCUAAUAAUUAGCUACAUGUCUUUGAGCUAUUCUCUGACACAUACAACAACAGCCCCUGAAGGAGGUUUCUGUUCUUGUGCCCAUUUUACAGAUGAGGACAUGGAGGCUCAGGGAGGUUAAGCAACCCGCCCAAAGCCACACAGCUGUUGAAUGGGGAGAAAGGGAUGUGCCCCAGGGGCACCUAUUGAGACCCUGUGACUUGAUGCUAUUGCCUCUCUCAGAUGCAGCCUGAGCCAGGAAGGGUGGCCAAACCACCCUCGAGUGGUUAGAGUGUGGCUUAUGCCACCCUGCACUUUCCUGAGGUGACCCCUGCCACUCUGCCCAUCCCUGAGGAAGGGUAGCUGGUCCUCUGCCUGCUUCUCCCUCCUAGGGACUCCACUGAGGGCCAGAGCCCGCACCCGCGCACACUCAGAUCCCCCCCGGGGGGCUCCCCCACGCCUGCAGGGGAAGGUACGGGCUACUCGGUCUGGUGCCCCAACUCUGCGUGGGGCCCACUCCUCACCAUCACACACCGUUCCCUCCUGGCACGGGGCCUCUCAGUCCCCCCGGCUCUGCCUGGCCAUCUCCUUUCACAAGGAAUCAGAGAAAAACUCUUCCUUUCCUGGGGCCCCUAGGACCCCGUCAGCUUUGCUGCUUCAUCCUUAUGGCCUUCACUGCACAUUGCCAGGGGACCUCUAGACCUGAGUCAUACCAGGCAGGGUCAGGGGCAUCCUGGGGACAGGGGCAGCACAUAGUUCCUCCACAGCCCCACCCCUGAGCAAGGGCCUGAGCAGAUGGGUCCCUGGAGCCCCAGGUGGCUUCCCCGCGGGGGGUCUCCACCCAGCACGUGCGCCCGCACCUGUGAGUCACUGUGGUAGUGACUGGGCUUCCUGUGUGGGAGUGUGAGCGCAUGCGCAUGUGGAGGGCCUGUGAGUGCGGAGCCGGCGCUGGCUGGGGGUGCAUGUAUGCACCAUGCAGCUGUGUGCUUCUGAGUCUAGGUAUUUCUGUGCACCUGCUGCUUUGCGGGGGGCGGGGGGGGGGUGCUGUGUGGACACUGGUGUGGCCAAGAGGUCUGGUCAGAAUGUGUGGCUGUGGGUGACUUUCCUUAGGGCCACCCUUCGCCAGAGCUGUGAGUGCAGUGAGGCAGGGGUGACGCUGUGACCGUUACAGAGGGAUGUGGGGGGCUCAACCCUAUGUGGCCAUGAGGGAGGAGCACCAGGCCUUGGCCUGGACUCUCUGACUUAGAACUCUCCUGCCCGGAGCUCCUGCCCAGCCCCUGCCCCUCCCCCUGCAGCCUUGUGCAAGCAAAUGGAGGGGACUCGGGAACAGCUGCCUGGGGGUGGGCACCCCCACCCUGGGAAUCGCUCAAUUUGGAGGACCUUGCUUUCGCA
ensembl:lncRNA